UUUUUCUUGGCGUUUGAGCAAAGAUGUUUGGCAUGAAAACUGGGAAGUUAAAUCAGAUUCAUUUGCUUCAUAUCAUUGUAAAUAUUAACAGGUAUACAAGGGAAAAAAGUUUAAUGUAUUAAAACAUCCUCCACUUUGGUCUGGUGUUUGUCUUUAAAAAUAAAAACUAUCUCAUUUGCUAGCAUCGGAUCUUAACUGAUUCUGUCAGUAGUUUCUUUUAAUUACCACUAAACUUCUCAUAAUGAGGAGAUAAUUAUUGACUUAAAAAUAGACUGAUAAACAGUAACGUUAGCGGUGUCCCGAUACGUUAUUGAUAUCGGUCCGAUAUCAGCCUCCACCUUAAAUCUCCGAUAUCAGCACUCCGAUACAGGCAGUCCAUUCCAGACUCUGCUCCAGGAACCUCUAUCUAGCAGCACCUGGAUCCAGCAUGUAAAGCCCACGUAAUGACAACAACAGUGUGUACUAAGGUACAAAGUACAAAGGGAUUGGCCCUGUGGCAGUAUUUUUCAUUAAAGUCUGAUAAAGACGUUGCAGCUGAGUGCAAAACUUGUCAUGCGCUAGUUUGUGCCAAUAUUGGAUCAAUAUCAGUAUCGGCCAGUAUUGAAGGCUGCAAUAUCGGUAUCGUAUCAGAGGUAAAUCAGGGGGAAGUGGUUCCUGGAAUAGUCCGUAGACAAUCAUGAUCAUUCAACUGUUUCACUGCUGUUAAAAAUGCAGACUAAAAAUUGAAAGUAUUGAUUAGAAUUGCAACUUAAAUCAGCAUCCACAAAAUCGCAGAGGAAUUAAAUUGGGAAAAAAGCAUAUUGUCCCAGCCCCACUAUUCAUAUAGUCUACCUAGACAUGGCAGAGUGCCGACUAUUGAAAAGCAUAUCGACCGUGUUUUAUAUUGAUAUUGAGGGAAAUUAAUUUUCAAUAUAUAUAAUUAUCGUUUUAUCGCCCAGCCCUAACCCUAAGUAACAUAAUCGAACGGGGCCUUGUAAAAAUCAUAUUCAUCAAUAACAAGUCCAGGUCCUCUUGACCAUCUUCUGAGUCUUGAAGCAGUCAAGUAUGAGUCUUCUGUGCUCAACCUAUGACUCCUGAAAACCAGGACUUGAGGCCAUCCGCCCAUUAGUGAACAAUUAUAUUUCAGACAGGAUUUAAAACGUACCUCCUCCGUCCCUUCACUUUUGUCUGUGCACGUUUCAACCCCCACUGCUGUAUCUAUGAGCACGUUUGAACUCAGUGUGACCUAAAUGUUCCCCCUCUCCCCGUGUCCUGUGUGGCACCUCAGCAGUGUCAUCGCUGCUCUCGUUUGAUGAUAAUUGUCUCUCUCCUCCGGCUCUUGCACAUGCUGAGAUGGUUCCUCCUCGUCCAAAGGCAGUUCCUUCACCGCCUCGAAAAACCUGCUUGCUUUGUCUUUUACUGGCUCUAAAUAGCCUGUAGUCAAAAAGGCAUCUUAGAUGGGCUGUUCUGGAGUAGGUAGGGGCGGCGUAUAAAUCCACCGCCACGGCUAUUAAUUAUUAGUGACAGCUUUCUGUGGCCGUUUUAGCUCAAAUGUUUCCACUGCAAUUGAUCCAAAAGAAAAAAUCCAUUUUUAUGUGAUAGCUGUAGCUUUUAAGCAAACUGACUGCUCGCACCGUAAGGUCAAGGAUUGAGUGAGUGAAGUUAUUUUUGCUGCUUGUGUUAGCAGAUUGCCUAUCAAUCUCUGGAGUGUCAUGUGAUUGAUACUGACUCAGCUUGAAUGAAAGAUGAGGCAAGGCCAUUGCCGCUCCAACUCAAGAGGAAAGAGUAGCCAAUGACCACUUAUAAAGCAAACAUAUUACACAUUACCAAGCACUAACAAUAUUCUCAUAAUUGCAUUUUCAAUAUCGGCACAUUUGGUGAAGGUAAAAUCAGCUGGAGGGACCAAUGUUGGAGGAUGAUUGUAAAGGAUCUGUUAAUCUAUGAUUAUCAACCACUUUGAAUCACCUGAGCUGUUAAUUAGCUAUUCUGGUUUACUACAUAUUAACAUCUUAAAUAUGAGUUAAAUCUUUCACCAUAAGGCAGAUUCGGUUUAUUUUUCUAGAAGUUUCCUGUUUUGAACUGAAGGCAUCUCCUCAGGCCUUUAAUUGCACACUUGUUGCUCCUUCCACCAUCUGCUCUCUGUCCAAUCAUUAAUUUAAAAGGAGAAAAAUAUAUUCUGUUCCCUGGCAGAGAUUUCACAGAAGAAGCCUGUUUGACUAUAUAAAGUCACUUAUUUUACUUUAUUAGAAGGUUCAAGUUAAAUUUAGAAAAAAAAAAAGUCAAGACUGAUCAAAUUAGGUUGAACUUUUGGUACUUUACCAAAUCAGACAGAUGUCUCUCUCUGGGCUCCAAAGGUGGUGGAGACAGAUGCUUCUGUCAGAUUUCAAAGGAGUCAUUUUACAGGCUUCGCCUUGAUCAUUUCAUCAGGAUAUGAUUAGAUCACGACACAUGGCAACAGUCAUCAAGAGGGAGAAAAACAAAAUAAACAGGUUAGCUAGGAUGUAUUUUUUUACCGCGUUAGAGGUUUGCUAAUGAUCAAUCAGGAGUUCGAAAAUUACUGUGGUGAUAUUGUCAAGUUUUACAGUAGAUACUAAAGGUAGUUUUUAGUUAAUCCUGAAGUUAAGUGGUGUCUCUCUGAUAAUUAUGCCUCUCAUGAACUGUGUACUUGAAGUUCUCCUGUCUGGAUUGGUCAGUGUUUGUUUUUGUGGCUGAUACCAGAGCAGAAUUAGCAAGAAGACAUAAACUUUCUGUUUAAGUUUUUUAGUAGUUGGAGAUUCCUCACAACCAGGACUUUGAGAGAGAGAGAGAGAGAGAUUGUUUAUUUGAUCAAAUAUACAUACAGUACAAUUUUAGUCAAGAAAUUCCCUAUUUUUUGGAGAUCAAAAAGGAGUAGGUAGAAGCUAUUUGGCUUAUUUGUACCUACCCUCAUUCCUUCCUAUUCAUUGACCUUUUACAUGUCUCUGGAAUUUUAGGAUUUCUGAAGUCGCCAAAAAGUAACCAAAGCUCCCAAGUCGAACAUGAAUAUGUAAGAAAUCAUUAACACUGAGACAGACUUUGCUUGGUUAAAGAGCUAAAUUGCUGAGAACAGGAUCGCUCGUGAGAAAAGCAGAAAAAACAUGACUGGUUUUGUCUUGAGAGGUCACCAGAAACAACAAAACAUGAAAACCCCCACAAGUUUGUUUGAAAAGGGGGAUACGGGAUUUACUCCAGGAUACAUGGUGGUCAUAAUUCGGAGACUGGAAACCCAGACUUGAACCGUUCACACGUCUCACAGUGCUUCAUGGGUUGUUUGCUGCAUGUAUGUUCGGAUGUAGUGACAGUGGACUGUUGGGAAUAGCAGAGCGGAGCAGCUUGAGGACAGAGCAUGUCACGUGUCGCAGGUCGACUCUUUGUGUGUUUUUUCCAUGGAGGGGAAAGAGCUGUUGCAUGUGCCUCUGGUGCGUUUCAGAGCUUUGGCAGAGUGGACCUCCGGGCUCUGGGCUUGUUAUGGAGCUGUCACUGUUAGGGUGGCAACACACUAUGCAUUUGAUCCUCUAUAAGAGAGUAGACAGGAUGUACAGUACAUAGAGAGAAGACCGCCACCCCUGGGUUAUUAUUCAGGAUGAAAUGAAAGAAAAGACACUCAAAGUAUUUGGUUCCCUGUGUGACGUGAAAACCGUAUUUAUGCGAAGUUAAAGCACUCAUUCAUUCUCCGGCAUGGCUUUACAGGGGGUUGCAGAUUUCCUGGUUAAAAGUGAAUCCCUGCUGGCCCUUUUUUUUUUACUGAAUAUUAAUUAGAUUUCAUCUUUGAAAGCCCUACAGCCCUUACAGAAACAUCCUUUUUAAUCAAGACAUAAAUGAGACGUGCUAAAGUGAUCUCUAGUAUCACGACUCUGGGGGAUUCAUGACUUCGAAAUUGAGAUGAGAAGUGCAGAUUCUUUUAUCUUUGCACUCAGUUUUACCUCAUAUGAAUUCAUUUGUGGUUAAGGAGGACAUAAAGUAACAAUGAUGAUGUCAAACUAGCGUUUUGAUAUUUACUUUAAAAGUCUGACUUUGUUUGCUUUCUCACUGUGCUUUCCUGCGCCCAUUGAUACUUCUAAGUUUAGAGUCCCAAAAUGCAUCAUUGUCCAUCUUUUUUGUUUGGUAAUUGUAAACUACAGUGACAAAACCUAUUUGUCCUGCCCCUCAGAGCUGUCUCAGGGCCCAGUUUCCCUGACAAGUGUGGUUUGAGGGGCCAUAAAACCAUCCUGCCACCAUCCCUCAAUCCCGUCCUCCAUUACGUAUGAAGCAGUGGCUAAAGUGACAGGCUUAUUUUCACCAGGACACAUGUAGCUGAGAUGACACCAUCACUCCAGCGCCAAACGCUACGUGAUCAAAGAUAUAUUUCUCAUUGACAAACUGCCGUGAGUAAAAGGCAACAGAGAGGGGUUAAGAGAGAAUACCAAUAUCAAUUCACUAGUCAUUUAGUUUGCUUACACUUCUUUCACGGAUAAGUGCAUAGACCCUUUUUCCUCCUGCUGUUCAAUUACCCAAGCACCCAUAAAAACCUGAAGUUGUGUCUCCGGAGUGAGAUAUUGUCACGCCGCUCGUAGCAAUAAGAGCGAGAUUUAGGAUAAGCCUCUCUACUGUGACAGAGGCUCGGCAGAGGGACCCUCUCUGUCACCAGAUAUUGCCGUCCCAAGCCGCUCAUUAAAGCUAGAAACCAUUACUUUACAGCUCGGGCUCAGCUUCACUCGGCUCCUCCUUCAUCUGCCUGCACAGCCCCCUGGAAGUAAAUAAACACAAAUGAGCUCGAGGAUAAACAAGGAAGCGCAAGAGCUGAAACCGUGGGGGAGGGGGAAAGCUGUGUGACCCAUUAACUUCUUUAUGCCGUUUAGUGGUCGGAUCAAGUUCAUUAUAAGAGAAUUUCCCCUGUGAACAACAAUGCAGAAGAAAGUGUUAGUUAGAUCAUAGUGAGCGCUCCCCUUGGUGUUGUUUGGAUUUGGCUCCACGAGGAGGAUUUAGACAGUCACAGAACUUAAAGGGAUAUUCCGACGUAAAAUGAAGUUAGGGUCAAACACACAGUAACACCGAGUUAGACACCCCAUCUUAACCCCAUCCAACUUAUACGAUAGCAAUACACAGCAGUCUGAGGAGCCACGCAAUCAACCAAAACGCCACUCUAUAGCCAUAAA